rnacentral:rRNA from 1 species
AUUGAACGCUGGCGGCAGGCCUAACACAUGCAAGUCGAACGAGUGGCGGACGGGUGCGUAAUGUCUUGGAAACUGCCUGAUGGAGGGGGAUAACUACGGUAAACGGUAGCUAAUACCGCAUACCACCAAUUGUGCCCCGAUGGGAUUAGCUAGUUGGUGGGGUAACGGCUCACCAAGGAGACGAUCCCUAGCUGGUCUGAGAGGAUGACCGGCCACACUGGAACUGAGACACGGUCCAGACUCCUACGGGAGGCAGCAGUGGGGAAUAUUGGACAAUGGGCGCAAGCCUGAUGCAGCCAUGCCGCGUGUAUGAAGAAGGCCUUCGGGUUGUAAAGUACUUUCAGCGGGGAGGCGUUACCCGCAGAAGAAGCACCGGCUAACUCCGUGCCAGCAGCCGCGGUAAUUC